GUUGACCUCGGAUCGGGUAGGGAUACCCGCUGAACUUAAGCAUACA
rnacentral:rRNA from 1 species